UACGUAGGGUGCAAGCGUUGCCCGGAUUUAUUGGGCGUAAAGGGCGCGUAGGCGGCUCGGCACGUCCGUUGUGAAAUCGCCCGGCUCAACUGGGCGGGGUCAGCGGAUACGGCCGAGCUUGAGCAAGCUAGGGGGCAAUGGAAUUCCUGGUGUAGCGGUGAAAUGCGCAGAUAUCAGGAGGAACACCGGUGGCGAAGGCGGGUCUCUGGGCCGAUACUGACGCUGAGGAGCGAAAGCGUGGGGAGCGAACAGG
rnacentral:rRNA from 1 species